rnacentral:rRNA from 1 species
UACGUAGGGGGCAAGCGUUGUCCGGAUUUAUUGGGCGUAAAGAGCGUGUAGGCGGCCAUACAGGUCAGCUGUGAAAACUCGAGGCUCAACCUCGAGACGUCGGUUGAAACCGUAUGGCUAGAGUCCGGAAGAGGAGAGUGGAAUUCCUGGUGUAGCGGUGGAAUGCGCAGAUAUCAGGAAGAACACCCGUGGCGAAGGCGGCUCUCUGGAACGCAACUGACGCUGAGACGCGAAAGCGUGGGGAGCAAACAGG